rnacentral:misc_RNA from 1 species
GAUGAAGAACGCAGCGAAAUGCGAUAAGUAAUGUGAAUUGCAGAAUUCAGUGAAUCAUCGAAUCUUUGAACGCACAUUGCGCCCGCCAGUAUUCUGGCGGGCAUGCCUGUCUGAGCGUCUUUUCAACCCUCAUGCCCCUAGGGCGUGGUGUUGGGGAUCGGCCAAAGCCCGCGAGGGACGGCCGGCCCCUAAAUCUAGUGGCGGACCCGUCGUGGCCUCCUCUGCGAAGUAGUGAUAUUCCGCAUCGGAGAGCGACGAGCCCCUGCCGUUAAACCCCCAACUUUCCAAGGUUGACCUCAGAUCAGGUAGGAAUACCCGCUGAACUUAAGCAUAUCAAUAAGCGGAGGA